GACGAACGCUGGCGGCGUGCUUAACACAUGCAAGUCGAACGGUGUCUUCGGACAUAGUGGCGCACGGGUGCGUAACACGUAUGCAACCUACCUUACAUUGGGGGAUAGCCUUUCGAAAGGGAGAUUAAAUACCGCAUAAGACAGUAGCUGGGCAUCCAGCAGCUGUUAAAGNUUUAUCGAUGUAAGAUGGGCAUGCGUCCAAUUAGUUAGUUGGCAGGUAAUGGCUCACCAAGACUUUGAUUGGUAGGGAACUGAGAGGUCAAUCCCCCACACUGGCACUGAGAUACGGGCCAGACUCCUACGGGAGGCAGCAGUAGGGAAUAUUGGGCAAUGGACGCAAGUCUGACCCAGCCAUGCCGCGUGCAGGAUGAAGGCGUU
rnacentral:rRNA from 1 species